CAGCACCACAUAUACAGAUAUUCUGUAUCUGGAAUGAUACAGAGAUUAAUUAGCAUGUCCCCUGCACAAGGAUGCCAUGCAAAUUUUCGAAGUGUCCCAUAUUAAA
ensembl:snRNA U6 U6 spliceosomal RNA